UUAUAACCGGCGAUACCCGAAUGGGGAAACCCAGUGUGAUUCGUCACACUAUCAUUAACUGAAUCCAUAGGUUAAUGAGGCGAACCGGGGGAACUGAAACAUCUAAGUACCCCGAGGAAAAGAAAUCAACCGAGAUUCCCCCAGUAGCGGCGAGCGAACGGGGAGGAGCCCAGAGCCUGAAUCAGCAUGUGUGUUAGUGGAAGCGUCUGGAAAGGCGCGCGAUACAGGGUGACAGCCCCGUACACAAAAGCGCAUGUGCUGUGAGCUCGAUGAGUAGGGCGGGACACGUGGUAUCCUGUCUGAAUAUGGGGGGACCAUCCUCCAAGGCUAAAUACUCCUGACUGACCGAUAGUGAACCAGUACCGUGAGGGAAAGGCGAAAAGAACCCCGGCGAGGGGAGUGAAAAAGAACCUGAAACCGUGUACGUACAAGCAGUGGGAGCACCCUUUGGGUGUGACUGCGUACCUUUUGUAUAAUGGGUCAGCGACUUAUAUUCUGUAGCAAGGUU
rnacentral:rRNA from 1 species